CCUACGGGAGGCAGCAGUGGGGAAUUUUGGACAAUGGGGGCAACCCUGAUCCAGCAAUGCCGCGUGAGUGAAGAAGGCCUUCGGGUCGUAAAGCUCUUUUGUCAGGGAAGAAACGGUGAAGGCUAAUAUCCUUUGCUAAUGACGGUACCUGAAGAAUAAGCACCGGCUAACUACGUGCCAGCAGCCGCGGUAAU
rnacentral:rRNA from 1 species